rnacentral:lncRNA from 1 species
AGUGAUUGGAGACGUGGAGACAUCAAUGGGGCCCAAUGGGACGUAUGGGGACAUGGAGACCCCAAUGGGGACCCAAUGGGGCCAUGGGGAACCCAAUGGGACACUGGGACAUCAUGGGACCCCAAUGGGACAUGGAGGACCCCAAUAGGACAUGGGGAACCCAAUGGGACACUGGGACACCAUGGGGACCCAAUGGGACAUGGAGGACCCCAAUGGGCCGUGGGGACGUCCCCAUGCAGUCCCUGCUGCAGCUGGCCGCAUUGCUGGCCGGGGUGGCCAUGAUGGCCGCCAUCGCUCAGUGGGAGUGAGCUGGGG